UACGGAGGGAGCUAGCGUUGUUCGGAAUUACUGGGCGUAAAGCGCGCGUAGGCGGCUUUGUAAGUUAGAGGUGAAAGCCCGGAGCUCAACUCCGGAACUGCCUUUAAAACUGCAUCGCUUGAAUCCAGGAGAGGUGAGUGGAAUUCCGAGUGUAGAGGUGAAAUUCGUAGAUAUUGGGAAGAACACCGGUGGCGAAGGCGGCUCACUGGCUCGUAACUGACGCUCAGGCGCGACAGCGUGGGGAGCAAACAGG
rnacentral:rRNA from 1 species